GACGAACGCUGGCGGCGUGCUUAACACAUGCAAGUCGAACGGAAAGGCCCUGCUUUUGUGGGGUGCUCGAGUGGCGAACGGGUGAGUAACACGUGAGUAACCUGCCCUUGACUUUGGGAUAACUUCAGGAAACUGGGGCUAAUGCCGGAUAGGAGCUCCUGCUGCAUGGUGGGGGUUGGAAAGUUUCGGCGGUUGGGGAUGGACUCGCGGCUUAUCAGCUUGUUGGUGGGGUAGUGGCUUACCAAGGCUUUGACGGGUAGCCGGCCUGAGAGAGUGACCGGCCACAUUGGGACUGAGAUACGGCCCAGACUCCUACGGGAGGCAGCAGUGGGGAAUAUUGCACAAUGGGCGGAAGCCUGAUGCAGCAACGCCGCGUGCGGGAUGACGGCCUUCGGGUUGUAAACCGCUUUCGCCUGUGACGAAGCGUGAGUGACGGUAAUGGGUAAAGAAGCACCGGCUAACUACGUG
rnacentral:rRNA from 1 species